rnacentral:rRNA from 1 species
GGUUAAGCGACUAAGCGUACACGGUGGAUGCCCUGGCAGUCAGAGGCGAUGAAGGGCGUGCUAAUCUGCGAUAAGCGCCGGUAAGGUGAUAUGAACCGUUAUAACCGGCGAUACCCGAAUGGGGAAACCCAGUGUGACUCGUCACACUAUCAUUAACUGAAUCCAUAGGUUAAUGAGGCGAACCGGGGGAACUGAAACAUCUAAGUACCCCGAGGAAAAGAAAUCAACCGAGAUUCCCCCAGUAGCGGCGAGCGAACGGGGAGGAGCCCAGAGCCUGAAUCAGCAUGUGUGUUAGUGGAAGCGUCUGGAAAGGCGCGCGAUACAGGGUGACAGCCCCGUACACAAAAGCGCAUGUGCUGUGAGCUCGAUGAGUAGGGCGGGACACGUGGUAUCCUGUCUGAAUAUGGGGGGACCAUCCUCCAAGGCUAAAUACUCCUGACUGACCGAUAGUGAACCAGUACCGUGAGGGAAAGGCGAAAAGAACCCCGGCGAGGGGAGUGAAAAAGAACCUGAAACCGUGUACGUACAAGCAGUGGGAGCACCCUUUGGGGUGUGACUGCGUACCUUUUGUAUAAUGGGUCAGCGACUUAUAUUCUGUAGCAAGGUUAACCGAAUAGGGGAGCCGGAGGGAAACCGAGUCUUAAUUGGGCGUUAAGUUGCAGGGUAUAGACCCGAAACCCGGUGAUCUAGCCAUGGGCAGGUUGAAGGUUGGGUAACACUAACUGGAGGACCGAACCGACUAAUGUUGAAAAAUUAGCGGAUGACCUGUGGCUGGGGGUGAAAGGCCAAUCAAACCGGGAGAUAGCUGGUUCUCCCCGAAAGCUAUUUAGGUAGCGCCUCGUGAACUCAUCUCCGGGGGUAGAGCACUGUUUCGGCUAGGGGGCCAUCCCGGCUUACCAACCCGAUGCAAACUGCGAAUACCGGAGAAUGUUAUCACGGGAGACACACGGCGGGUGCUAACGUCCGUCGUGAAGAGGGAAACAACCCAGACCGCCAGCUAAGGUCCCAAAGUCAUGGUUAAGUGGGAAACGAUGUGGGAAGGCCCAGACAGCCAGGAUGUUGGCUUAGAAGCAGCCAUCAUUUAAAGAAAGCGUAAUAGCUCACUGGUCGAGUCGGCCUGCGCGGAAGAUGUAACGGGGCUAAACCAUGCACCGAAGCUGCGGCAGCGACACUGUGUGUUGUUGGGUAGGGGAGCGUUCUGUAAGCCUGUGAAGGUGGCCUGUGAGGGUUGCUGGAGGUAUCAGAAGUGCGAAUGCUGACAUAAGUAACGAUAAAGCGGGUGAAAAGCCCGCUCGCCGGAAGACCAAGGGUUCCUGUCCAACGUUAAUCGGGGCAGGGUGAGUCGACCCCUAAGGCGAGGCCGAAAGGCGUAGUCGAUGGGAAACGGGUUAAUAUUCCCGUACUUGGUGUUACUGCGAAGGGGGGACGGAGAAGGCUAUGUUGGCCGGGCGACGGUUGUCCCGGUUUAAGCGUGUAGGUGUGUGUUCCAGGUAAAUCCGGUUCACUUUAACACUGAGGCGUGAUGACGAGGCACUACGGUGCUGAAGCAACAAAUGCCCUGCUUCCAGGAAAAGCCUCUAAGCAUCAGGUAACAUCAAAUCGUACCCCAAACCGACACAGGUGGUCAGGUAGAGAAUACCAAGGCGCUUGAGAGAACUCGGGUGAAGGAACUAGGCAAAAUGGUGCCGUAACUUCGGGAGAAGGCACGCUGACACGUAGGUGAAGUGAUUUACUCACGGAGCUGAAGUCAGUCGAAGAUACCAGCUGGCUGCAACUGUUUAUUAAAAACACAGCACUGUGCAAACACGAAAGUGGACGUAUACGGUGUGACGCCUGCCCGGUGCCGGAAGGUUAAUUGAUGGGGUCAGCGCAAGCGAAGCUCCUGAUCGAAGCCCCGGUAAACGGCGGCCGUAACUAUAACGGUCCUAAGGUAGCGAAAUUCCUUGUCGGGUAAGUUCCGACCUGCACGAAUGGCGUAAUGAUGGCCAGGCUGUCUCCACCCGAGACUCAGUGAAAUUGAACUCGCUGUGAAGAUGCAGUGUACCCGCGGCAAGACGGAAAGACCCCGUGAACCUUUACUAUAGCUUGACACUGAACAUUGAGCCUUGAUGUGUAGGAUAGGUGGGAGGCUUUGAAGUGUGGACGCCAGUCUGCAUGGAGCCGACCUUGAAAUACCACCCUUUAAUGUUUGAUGUUCUAACGUGGACCCGUAAUCCGGGUUGCGGACAGUGUCUGGUGGGUAGUUUGACUGGGGCGGUCUCCUCCUAAAGAGUAACGGAGGAGCACGAAGGUUGGCUAAUCCUGGUCGGACAUCAGGAGGUUAGUGCAAUGGCAUAAGCCAGCUUGACUGCGAGCGUGACGGCGCGAGCAGGUGCGAAAGCAGGUCAUAGUGAUCCGGUGGUUCUGAAUGGAAGGGCCAUCGCUCAACGGAUAAAAGGUACUCCGGGGAUAACAGGCUGAUACCGCCCAAGAGUUCAUAUCGACGGCGGUGUUUGGCACCUCGAUGUCGGCUCAUCACAUCCUGGGGCUGAAGUAGGUCCCAAGGGUAUGGCUGUUCGCCAUUUAAAGUGGUACGCGAGCUGGGUUUAGAACGUCGUGAGACAGUUCGGUCCCUAUCUGCCGUGGGCGCUGGAGAACUGAGGGGGGCUGCUCCUAGUACGAGAGGACCGGAGUGGACGCAUCACUGGUGUUCGGGUUGUCAUGCCAAUGGCACUGCCCGGUAGCUAAAUGCGGAAGAGAUAAGUGCUGAAAGCAUCUAAGCACGAAACUUGCCCCGAGAUGAGUUCUCCCUGAGACUUAGAGUCUCCUGAAGGAACGUUGAAGACGACGACGUUGAUAGGCCGGGUGUGUAAGCGCAGCGAUGCGUUGAGCUAACCGGUACUAAUGAACCGUGAGGCUUAACCUU